GCUCGAUGGCCGAGUGGUUAAGGCCUGUCAAUGGGGUUUCCCCGCGCAGGUUCGAACCCUGCUCUCAGCG